rnacentral:lncRNA from 10 species
GGUGAAGGACUUCAUCUUGGGGGUGUCAGCCUUUCCUUUCAGAAAGGACCAAGCCCUCUCUUGGGGAAAUUCAGUUUCCCUCCGAUCAGCUGAAACCCUAGCGUUCAGCCGGCGCAGGGAGUUGUGCUUGGUAGGAGAAGGUGAUGCCGUCCCUGGAGUAUCUCUGAAACAUAAAUUAUUGCCUGGGCAACAGCAGCACCAGGGUGGCACAUGGCUUGGGUUACAAAACACACUCUAGUGGCAGAGAUGAAAUUCUCAGGGGGGCUGUAGUCCCUUGGAGAAUCUGAUGCGAGGUAACCACGCUUUUUCCCAGAAAAUGCCCUCAUGCACCAUUUCACACACAGUGGGUCCUUGAAUAGCAUCGUUUUAUUCAAUGUCAUUUUGUUAUAACAUUGAGAAAAAAAUUGAUUCCCGGCUGGGGCCACUGUCUGUGCACCGUCUAGACGUCCUCCCGGUCGGAGAGCUUUCUGGGCACUCUGGUUUCCUCCCACGCCCCAAAGAUGUGCAGGUGAGGUUUGUUGGUGUCUGGUCGCAGUCUGAGUGUGUGUGGGGGGUGAGUGUGCCCUGUGAUGGGAGGGCAUCCUGUCCAGGGUGGUCCCUGCCUUGCACACUGAGCUGUUGGGAUAGGCUCUGGUCGCCCACCACCUUAAACUGGAAUAACUGAGUUGGAAAAUGAAAGAAGGAAUGAAUAAAAAAUUAUUGUAAAAUAAAAAUUGCCUCCCAUAACCAUACAAAUGCACAAUAGUAAAUGACGCUGUACGGAAGUGCCCAGUGAGCCCGUUCAUUCUGGUGUUUGACCUGCGUGGUGGAAGGAGGCGCUCCUGACAAUUUUUGCUUUGCAAACAUUUAUUCUGUGAUAUAACUCACCAUCGCUGCAACUGCCAGCACUCAGAGUCACCAAAAAUUGGGUAAUUAUCUUGUUUUUAGUAAUUUUUCUUAAAUGUAUGUAUAACUAACUCAUGUCUAUUUAAUGUUUAAUAUUAGAAGUGUUUGGUUUAAAGUUCUAAAGUUUGGUGAAGUUUUUAUGGCCAGCAAUAUGCCGUGGGAACUUAACUCUUGUUUACAUCCAUUAGCCUAUAGUAAAAUUAGUUUCAUUAUAUAUCAUUUUGCUUAAAGUUGCCAUUUCUUUUUUUGAGACGAAGUCUCGCUCUGUCGCCCAGGCUGGAGUGCAGUGGUGCGAUCUCAGCUCACUGCAACCUCUGCCUCUUGGCUGCAAGCGAUUCUCCUGCCUCAGCCUCCCGAGUAGUUGUGAUUACAGGCACACGCCACCAGGCCUGGCUAAUUUUUGUAUUUUUAGUAGAGAUGGGGUUUUGCCAUGUUGGCCAGGCUGGUCUUGAGCUCCUGACCUCAGGUGAUACGCCUGCCUCGGUCUCCCAAAGUGCAGGGAUUACAGGCCUGAGCCACCUUGCCCAGCCAAAAUUAGUUUCAUUAUACCUCAUUUUGCUUAAAGUUGUAGUUUCUAAGAAAACCUAUUGAUGACGGUUGGUGAAGAGUUACUGUACCAUGUUGCGGGUCUCCUGGAUCCUGGGCUGGGAGCGCCUGUAGGGGAGGUUCUGGGCAAAUCCAAUUGACUGUGGGUUUACAAAACCACCACGGUGGGAGGUAAGAUUUCAAGGGGGUGGGAAGAGCUGGAAUCGUGGCAUGCCAGGGGAUUAUCACUGUAUGCCUUGCCCAAGUUAAAAUAACUUGACCAAUAA